GUUUGAUCAUGGCUCAGAACGAACGCUGGCGGCGCGUUUUAAGCAUGCAAGUCGAACGGCAAGGAGAGUAGCAAUACUUUCCCUAGAGUGGCGAACGGGUGAGUAAGACGUAGGUGAUCUACCCCUGGAUGGGGGAUAGUCCGUGGAAACACGGGGUAAUACCGCAUGAGGCCUUGGGGGUAAAGCCCUGAGGUGAAAGCUCCAAUUGGAGCGUCUGGGGAUGAGCCUGCGGCCCAUUAGGCAGUUGGCGGGGUAACGGCCCACCAAGACAGUGAUGGCUAGGGGGUCUAAAAGGAUGAUCCCCCACACUGGUACUGAGACACGGACCAGACUCCUACGGGAGGCAGCAGUGAGGAAUAUUGGUCAAUGGGCGAGAGCCUGAACCAGCCAUGCCGCGUGCAGGAAGACGGCCCUACGGGUUGUAAACUGCUUUUGUGUGGGAAGAAAAAGCCUUACGUGUAGGGCACUGACGGUACCAUAUGAAUAAGCAUCGGCUAACUCCGUGCCAGCAGCCGCGGUAAUACGGAGGAUGCGAGCGUUAUCCGGAUUUAUUAGGUUUAAAGGGUGUGUAGGCGGAAGCUUAAGUCAGUGGUGAAAUCCCCCGGCUCAACCGGGGAACUGCCAUAGAUACUGGGUUUCUUGAGUACAGUUGAAGUAGGCGGAAUGUGUAAUGUAGCGGUGAAAUGCAUAGAUAUUACACAGAACACCGAUUGCGAAGGCAGCUUGCUAAGCUGUUACUGACGCUGAUGCACGAAAGCGUGGGGAGCGAACAGGAUUAGAUACCCUGGUAGUCCACGCCGUAAACGAUGAUUACUCGUUGUUGGCGAUAUAAAGUCAGCGACUGAGCGAAAGCAUUAAGUAAUCCACCUGGGGAGUACGG
rnacentral:rRNA from 1 species